rnacentral:rRNA from 1 species
CUAAUACAUGCAAGUCGAACGCACAGCGAAAGGUGCUUGCACCUUUCAAGUGAGUGGCGAACGGGUGAGUAACACGUGGACAACCUGCCUCAAGGCUGGGGAUAACAUUUGGAAACAGAUGCUAAUACCGAAUAAAACUUAGUGUCGCAUGACACAAAGUUAAAAGGCGCUUUGGCGUCACCUAGAGAUGGAUCCGCGGUGCAUUAGUUAGUUGGUGGGGUAAAGGCCUACCAAGACAAUGAUGCAUAGCCGAGUUGAGAGACUGAUCGGCCACAUUGGGACUGAGACACGGCCCAAACUCCUACGGGAGGCUGCAGUAGGGAAUCUUCCACAAUGGGCGAAAGCCUGAUGGAGCAACGCCGCGUGUGUGAUGAAGGCUUUCGGGUCGUAAAGCACUGUUGUAUGGGAAGAACAGCUAGAAUAGGGAAUGAUUUUAGUUUGACGGUACCAUACCAGAAAGGGACGGCUAAAUACGUGCCAGCAGCCGCGGUAAUACGUAUGUCCCGAGCGUUAUCCGGAUUUAUUGGGCGUAAAGCGAGCGCAGACGGUUGAUUAAGUCUGAUGUGAAAGCCCGGAGCUCAACUCCGGAAUGGCAUUGGAAACUGGUUAACUUGAGUGCAGUAGAGGUAAGUGGAACUCCAUGUGUAGCGGUGGAAUGCGUAGAUAUAUGGAAGAACACCAGUGGCGAAGGCGGCUUACUGGACUGUAACUGACGUUGAGGCUCGAAAGUGUGGGUAGCAAACAGGAUUAGAUACCCUGGUAGUCCACACCGUAAACGAUGAACACUAGGUGUUAGGAGGUUUCCGCCUCUUAGUGCCGAAGCUAACGCAUUAAGUG